rnacentral:rRNA from 1 species
AAUACGGAGGGUGCAAGCGUUAAUCGGAAUUACUGGGCGUAAAGCGCACGCAGGCGGUUUGUUAAGUCAGAUGUGAAAUCCCCGGGCUCAACCUGGGAACUGCAUUUGAAACUGGCAAGCUUGAGUCUUGUAGAGGGGGGUAGAAUUCCAGGUGUAGCGGUGAAAUGCGUAGAGAUCUGGAGGAAUACCGGUGGCGAAGGCGGCCCCCUGGACAAAGACUGACGCUCAGGUGCGAAAGCGUGGGGAGCAAACAGGAUUA